CUGCGCCUGCGAAGGACGUAGCGGCACCCAAAAGGAUACAUGGUCUUGCAGGCGGCCGGGUGCCGUACCGUCUGGUGAUCGCAAACUUUUGCGAUUCAAAGCCCUUUC
rnacentral:sRNA from 12 species